rnacentral:tRNA from 1 species
GCCAGCCGCUGCGGCGGCCGGAUCGGGCCGAGUUCGAUUUCCGGUCGAACGGUGGCAGCGUUCAUCGCCGCGACCGCUUCC